AUUAAUUAUUUUAAAAAAAUAUAAAAAAUUAAUAUUUAAAAUUAAUAAAUUAAAGAAAUUUAAAUUUAGUUAUGUUAAUUAGAAUUAAUAAAAUUUGUGCCAGCAAUUGCGGUUAUACAAUAAAUUCAAAUAAAAUUAUUUUAAUUUAAAAAUAAUGAAAUAUAAAAUUUUAUUGAUCUAUAAUAUAUAAAUAAUAAUAAUUUUUUAAGAUAAAAUUAAUAAAAUUAAUUAUUUAACUUUAAUUUAAAUUUAUUUAUAAAAAAUUUGAAUUAAACUAGGAUUAGAUACCCUAUUAUAAAAUUAAUAAAAAUUUUAAAUUAAUUAGUAAUAUAUAAUUUAUUGAAAAUUAAAGAAUUUGGCGGUAUUUUAAUCAAUUUAGAGGAACUUGUAGUGUAAUUGAUUAUCCACGAUUAAAAAAACUUAAUUUAAAAUUAAAAUUUGUAUAUCGUUGUUAAAAAAUUAUUUUUUAAAAAAUUUAAAUAUUUAAUAAUUUUAAAAUAAAAUUAAAUCAAAUCAAGAUACAGUUUAUAAUUAAGAAAUUUAUGAGUUACAUUAAAUUUAUUUUUUGGAAAAUAUAAUUUUGAAAAAAAAAAUUUAUGUUAAAUUGGAUUUAAAAGUAAAUUUGUUAAUAUAUUCAAUUUGAAUAAAGUUUUAAAAUAUGUACAUAUUGCCCGUCGCUCUCAUAUAAAAAUAUAUAAUUAUUUUAUAAAAAAAAAUAUAAGUUAAAAUUGAGAUAAGUCGUAACAAAGUAGAAAUAUUGGAAAAUGUUUCUGGAAUAAA
rnacentral:ncRNA from 1 species